AAUGAAGUGAUGAAGGAAAGUAGUAAGAAUUCUAAUUUUAGUAUAGCGAGUUUGGGAUAGUGGAAGCCAAAUGUAAAAGGAAUUUUGAAGGCGUUCUGGAGCUUAUUCAAUGAAGAUGCUAGUUUUUUUAACUAGAAUUAGGGUGGAACCGCGAUAAUAUCGUCCCUAUA
rnacentral:misc_RNA from 1 species